rnacentral:rRNA from 1 species
AUUGAACGCUGGCGGCAGGCCUAACACAUGCAAGUCGAGCGGAUGAAGGGAGCUUGCUCCUGGAUUCAGCGGCGGACGGGUGAGUAAUGCCUAGGAAUCUGCCUGGUAGUGGGGGAUAACGUCCGGAAACGGGCGCUAAUACCGCAUACGUCCUGAGGGAGAAAGUGGGGGAUCUUCGGACCUCACGCUAUCAGAUGAGCCUAGGUCGGAUUAGCUAGUUGGUGGGGUAAAGGCCUACCAAGGCGACGAUCCGUAACUGGUCUGAGAGGAUGAUCAGUCACACUGGAACUGAGACACGGUCCAGACUCCUACGGGAGGCAGCAGUGGGGAAUAUUGGACAAUGGGCGAAAGCCUGAUCCAGCCAUGCCGCGUGUGAGAAGAAGGUCUUCGGAUUGUAAAGCACUUUAAGUUGGGAGGAAGGGCAGUAAGUUAAUACCUUGCUGUUUUGACGUUACCAACAGAAUAAGCACCGGCUAACUUCGUG